GACGAACGCUGGCGGCGCGCUUAACACAUGCAAGUCGAGCGAUGAAACUCUAACAGUACCCUUCGGGGCGAAGAUAAAGUGGAUUAGCAGCGGACGGGUGAGUAACCUGUGAGUAAGCUGAAUUAGACAUUGGGAUAGCCUCGGGCAACCGGGAUUAAUACCAAAUAAAAUCGUAAUGGCACAUUUCAUAAGGAACAAAACUACGGCGGUCUGGUAUGGACUCGCGGCGUAUCAGAUAGUUGGUAGGGUAGAGGCUUACCAAGGCGUCGAUGGGUAGCCGGCCUGGCAGGGUGACCGGACACAUUGGAACUGAGAUGCGGCCCAGACUAAUACGGUAGGCAGCGGAGGAGAAGAUAGCACAAUGGGCGGAAGCCUGAUGCAGCAACGCCGCGUGCGGGAUGACGGCCAUCGGGUUGUGAACUGAUUUCGCCUGUGACGAAGCGUGAGUGACGGUAAUGGGUAAAGAAGCCCCGGCUAACUACGUG
rnacentral:rRNA from 1 species